UUCGGUACGGAUUUUCCGCGCCA
rnacentral:siRNA from 1 species